GACGAACGCUGGCGGCGUGCCUAAUACAUGCAAGUAGAACGCAGUUGCGAAAGGGUGAGUAAAGCGUAGGUAACUGCCUGGUAGCGGGGGAUAACUAUUGGAAACGAUAGCUAAUACCGCAUACUACCAGAUGGACCUGCGUUGUAUUAGCUAGUUGGUGGGGUAACGGCUCACCAAGGCAACGAGCAAUAGCCGACCUGAGAGGGGUGCGGCCCCCCUGGGACUGAGGCAAGGCCCAGAAUCCUCCGGGAAGCAGCAGUAGGGGAUCUUCGGAAAUGGGGGGAACCCUGACCGAGCAACGCCGCGUGAGUGAAGAAGUUUUUCGGAUCGUAAAGCUCUGUUGUUAAGGAAGCGGUACUUAACCAGAAAGGGACGGCUAACUACGUGCCAGCAGCCGCGGUAAUUC
rnacentral:rRNA from 1 species